AGAGAAAGACGAAGCAUUGAGGGAAUUGAGCCAAGAUAUACCAGCUGCGACUCUUUCGAGAUAUAUAUUUUAUUGUCUUUAUAAAAAGCUUAGAAAGUCGUUCGUUCUCGUUACGUACCAUAGAUGGCUCGAUCGUUUAUCGAUCGGUUCAUAAAAAAAAAAAAAAAAAAAAAAAAAAAAAAGAAGAAAUGUAAUAACUCAUUAUAUCGCUUAUUCCGAAAGUUAACGUAUCGAUAAAAAAGAAUACGAGUGAUUUUUAUAUCGACCAUUUAAUGUUUCCCACGCGUCGGAGAGAAGAUAUAUAGAGGAUAUACUCGCAAAAGGAAAAGAACCGAAUUGAAAUUCGUGCCGAUUCAUUCAUUUUCACCCUAGUGUGUGUGUGUGCGCGUACGCGUGUACACGUAAAUACGAGGUCACGUGCUUGACGGAAAUGGACGUACGAAAGGAAAUUGCGAUUUUCAAAAAGGUAAAGACCAUUCGCGUAGGAGAGGAUCUUUUCUUCGUUUCUAUGCUUGUAUCUAUAUAGAAAGGAAGGCCGAACAGGUAGCAGGUGCGCGAGUUCGAUGCACAGACUCGGCGCCGCUCUUCGUCGGCUCGCCGUGUGCGAGGGAGUUCUGACUGGCCUGUGCGGUCCUUCCACCACUACUAUCACUACCACUACUACCGUCAGUACCACUACUACCACGACGACGACGUCGACGACGACUGUUACCAAUAUACUACCACACCAUCGGACUACCGUCUAUCGGCGACACAAGGAUGCGGCACUUCCAGCAGUGGCUGGACACGAGAUCGAGAAGAAGAAAAAGAAGAAGAAAAGGAGGAGGAGGAGAAAGAGGAGGAGGAGUGUCGACUGUGUCGGCUCUACGAAACGCGACGCGCCGUAUCGACUCUCGUAGUAGGGCACACUCGCGGAGAUCGUUCUAAUAAUAUAACACGGAGAAGAGUCGCUCGGAAACGGAAGUCAGCUGACAGCUGGUAGCCGCGUCACAGGAAGGAAGAAUAAGAAGAAGAAGAAGAGGAAGAAGAAGAUGAAGAAGAAGUAGAAGACGACGACGACGACGACGACGACGACGACGACGACGACGACGACGACGACGUCAACGAAGAAGAAGAAGAAGAAGAAGAAGAAGACUACGUUAACAGUGUACCGUACUAACAAGCGGCACGUGAUUUACGUUAACGGUCGACACGCGACCACGAGCAAAAGAUCUUCUUCUUCUUCUUCUCUUUCCUUCAUAUCCUUUCUUUCUUACCCUCCUUUGUCGAGGUUGCGAAUAUAAAAAUAUUAUCAUUUUUCCGAAAUCAAUCUCCCGACAAAGACGUAUCCAGGGAUAUAUUUUCCAUUAAAUUUCAAUUGUUCGAUACUCUUUCGAUGAACGAUAAAGGAGGAGAAAAAUGUAAUAAAAAAAAAAAAAAAAAUAAAUAAAUAAAAAUAAAAC